UCGGCCAGCACGACGCACGCUACCAGGUGAAUUCGGUUGAAUUUAUUCAUUAUCCCUCGCGCCCAAUCAUCUUCGUUUUAUUGUCCAACACAUUUAUCUUUGCAAAGAUUUUCUUUUUUUACCAGUGCCAGUCAUUUCCUUUUCGUCGUAGACUUGCUAACGAUGAGCUCUUUUGUUUACUCAAUCCACUGCUGUGCAAGUCAAGUGGCGUUUUGACUCGUCAAGUGAUGGUUUCACCACAUGAAUGGAGGUCUAUUAAAGACGAGUAGCAUUUCUCAUCUCGCACUGUUUUUCGAGCCACACGUAGCCAAAUUAGCCUUGUUUUCCCCUCUUGACGUAGAAUUCAAUCGCCUUUGGCCACAACAUUCAUUGUCUAUUAUAGCACUUUUGCCGUGUUCGCUGUUGCGUUCGUUCGUGCACGUCCUUUUCUGGUUUCUUUCACACGGUGGUGGAUAUUGGCUCACGACCACUUAUUCACGUUUUUAUUCGUCUGUUUCCUCUAUAUUUGAAUUUUGGAUGCUGUGGAAUAAUGAGACGAGAGUCGGUGAUGUGGGAUACACGAAGGGGGGAGAGAGCCUUACGUUUUAUGCAAUUACGAGAUGCUCUGCUGCCUCAAGAUGUAAUUAUUUUUGUUUUCUUUCCUUCCUAAUUUAUUUCUUUCCGCAUUUGCCUACACGGCCGUAAGAGAGUAUGGGCUGAAAAGUUGAGUCAACAUUUCUGUGCUCGUUAGCGUAUAUUCGAAUUGGGAGAGCAAGUUGCGCUGAUACAGAAACAAAGAUGGCGGUAAAUGUUGGGGGAAGAUGACGACUGUUUAAAUCAAAGAUGAAGUUGUGUUCAAUUUAUUUACUAUGAGAGACUGUAGGUUUUUCAUGCUGUUGAACUUUUGUGCCUUUUUAAGGGGUUGUACAUUGCCUGGCAGAGUGUGCCGGAGAAACCGGUGACAACCAACGAAAAUGAUGUGCGACGGUUUAUUAACAGGCCCCCGUCUUACAGAAAUGUAGACGAAGCUGCUUUAAAUGAUGACAUAUCCCAAACUUGUUAAUAGGCGCGUGCGAUGUUGCUGCAGGUUGCACACAACUUUUUCUGCUGCAAGAAGAAUGUAGGGGGCACAGAUGAAAGGCCGGAGACAACUUGGAAAGAUGUACGUGAAAGUGAAUGCGAUGUGGAAUGGAACGACAAAAGAAAAUGUGCAUCCGCUUUGUAGAUUAUGCAGCAAUGUGCUAUUUUUCUUUUAGAGCGUAUUAAACUGCUCUAAAUUAUGUUUCGGGAGAUGUGCAAGAAUCUUGUGAGCUGUUUUCCUUGGUGGACGUUGAUGCUGUUGCCAACUGGAACGAAUACAAGGUGAAUUAUUGUACAUCGUUGUACGAUAAGUAUUCCCAUCCAGAUUCCAGGAAAUGAUAGUUUAGGAAUUAAACUUUCAAUAACUGUGUAUACCAAUGCUUUCAUCCGUUUUCCGAGGAGGGGCACCUUCUUUUGUUCAUCUUUUCGCUGCGUCGAUGACUGGAUCGAUUGCGUUCUGUGCUUGGCCCCGUCACGUUCGCCUAUACUUCCGUGAAAACUAGAAUUUAUAGGCAACGAUGAAAUCUUUUUCUCUAAUCAAUGAAAUCAUUUAUUAUUAUUAUUAUUUUUUUUUCGCUCUCUAUGGAUUUUGGUGGCAGCAGCAGCGACGGGAGCGAGUUGAUUUAGUAGACAGCGAUCGACCGCACAGAGAGCAAAAGCUCAAUGCGGAUACGUGUGCCCCAGGUGUUUUUCGUUUGCUGCUUUGGUCCGGGUACACAUUGGGGGAUUAUGAUGGUGCAGCGACAAGAGACUAUACACGGCUACUCGCCGGAACAUGAUCCGCUUCCUUGAUGUCCGGGCUGAUGUCGUAUACAGUAUAGUAUAUGACGCAUUCGUCAAUGGCUGCGUCGGCAGCGAAGACGGUGCUGGUCUGCGACACAAAUGGAGCCAUCAAACAACAGCCAUCGGCUUACUAUUUUGUUUUGUUUUUGGCUUAGGUAAACUAACGUGGCAGAGACAGCCUUUCACUUGUUUUAUACGCACUAAGAAAUGAUUUCAUUCCGUCAUUUCCUGUCUAUACGCUUGCGUACGCCGACUAGUCAAGACGGUCGUCUUAAAAACAUCGUAUUUCUAAAGCUUUGAUGAGCAGAAUAAAGGUCAGACGACACAAAGCUCACAAUGAAAUGCAUUCCAUUAUCGAGUAGAGGGUAAAGAAAUAAGAGUGUUUGUGCUGACUGUCCAUGGUUCUCGGAUGGAGUGCAACACUCACGACAGAAAGGAAAACACGCAACUAAAGUCUAUUUGCUCAAUGUAUUAGGAAAUAGGGAAGAGGGAUUCCCCAAACGCCUCAUCAAGACCAACAGUAAGAAUAGAAUCUUAUUGGAUUGUUGUCGUACAGCAACGGCCGUGCGACAUUAUUUUAAGACUCUUCGACGAGAAAUGGAAUGUCAGGAUGAGUUAUUUCGGUCUAGAGUUUAACUGAGUUUUGUAAUCGCAUGGUAGCCGCUGAAAUGGGCCAAUUUCAAGUCAAAUAUUUGUGCAAGAUCAUCAAUGUCAUUUUUAGAGAUCCGCUGGAGCUGACGAAAGACAAUCACGUGCUGAUGGGAAUGAACGCAAUCGGCAAAAGUGCUCCGUAGAAAAGAAUAAAGAGGGACUCGUGGCGAAUAACAUCUCAUCUGUAUAGAAUGGCAGGGUACAAGAGCAUCGCGGAUUACUCUCAACAAAGAGGAUAACAAGGAAAAGACGUCAAUGAUAACACGUUUGCUUUAGCCGAGCAACAAUAUAAAGAAAAUGCAGUCGGCAAAGUUCUACGUAUUUGAGACUCUCUAGACGCGCCUCCUGCAUUGUUUUCAUUCGUUGGCGGAGCUUCUCGCGUGUAAUCGACAUGUCAGACCGAGUGCAACGCCACGACAAACAGUUUAAAUUUGAACGAGACAGCAGCACAAUUUUAUUCGAAAAGAAAUGAAUGCCAAGUUGGCAUUGCCUUCCCCCGCAGCAUUGGGUUAUCAAAAAAACGUCAACUUUGUCCAAAUGAAUUCGCCCGGCUGUUGUUGUUUGCCUCACUGCAAGGUGCUACCUAUGGAACACCGCCAGUUGGACAUGGAUGCGAUUGGCCGUCUUUGUAUUGAUCAUCCACCUUCUGUAAAUAGCAAAGGCUCAAUAAAUAUUCGAGUUCAGCUGCGUCAUGACAGGUAAAAUUGAAAGGUCUUCUAAAAAUGUUGGAGCUGAUCGGUACAAGGCCGACUGGCACAGCUAUUUUCAUCUCGUUUUAUUCCAAUCUUGUGUCAAUCAAUAUGUUAUCAAUGUUUGCUGAAAAUGUGUGAGAUUCUAGGGGGGUUGGUGUGCACGUAAAGGAUCGUCUGCCCUAACGAUUAACGAACAAAUCAGCAGGUACAGGUGAAUAAAAAAGACGGUGCAAUUAGCGCAACAGAAGGUGGCUGACUACGAGUCGCGACGGUUGGUGAAUUAUAGGCAGCUCAAUCAACCAUAUAACAAGGGGAGCGUCACAGUUUCCAUCCAGGCCAGUGAUUUUUGCAGCCCAGUGCUGCACCCCAGCAUCUUCCGCAGCCGAUACGAGGCUUAAAAAAAGAACUGCGUGCAUUGUAACUAUGGUAUAUAACUCAUAGAUGUUUUCUUAAAUGUUGUUCAAGAGUCAAAUGAAAAAAAGAGGAUCCCUGUCGUUUUUGAUACGCUCCGGUUAGCAACAUGAAAGCCAAUUAGUCAUCAAGAAUGGCUCAACUUCGAAAGGUUCGCAUGUUCUCGGUAUAGUUCAUUUGAACGCAACUAGUCACAGCGCAACACGAAAAAAUGCGAUUUAUUUCCCCCCCUUUAAGCAUUUCUUUUAGGCGUUCGCCUUCAUGGAAGGGCUUGUAUAGCUGCAGUGACGUAUCAGCACUUUGUGGACUAGACUAGGCUAUUGCCAUUUGGCUGGUGGGAACGGUGAACGGAAAAAAAUCGCACCUUGUAGCCAUCGACGGCUCAUGAUAAACUGCGACGCACACAACUAACCAAGAGACAAAAGCUGUGUAGAGGCUAAGAAGAAUCAUCACGUACCGCAUAUCCAACUAAUAACGCAAGAGGUUUGAUUCACUUAACCAAUGAGAUGAAAUUUGCCUGAAUCGCGGUGGGGCAUUGUAGACGAUGUCGACGAAAAGACAUCAAGGAGGGAUAACAAUGGACCGAGCAAAACACGGACGUUUAUGUACGAAUGGAGAGAUGCUUUAACGAGAUAAGUAUACGCUCGCAACGUUACGUGCGGAGUAAUGAAAGGCGAGACGACACACGUUCAAUCCGAGUAUUUGGGCUUCAGUCACAACGAGGCUAUCGGUAUAUCCAACUCGUCAGAUGCUGAACGCGAGCAGCGUGCACUUUCCCGCUGGCCUGUACACACGUGUACAGUACAGUACAUGGCAUAGAGCAGAACGUAUUGAUUGGUGAUGUCGGCCAUAAGAGCUAAAAAAAGCACUGCGUCUCUCGGCGUAACCAAACCUUUCGGCCGUGCUCAUCUGUUCGUCUGUACGGUAAGACUUUUCCUAAAAAUAAUUACAAUUUUGGUAAUUCCUUUUCAAAAAAUCAUAAACGAGAGGUGUUGGUAUGAAGCCAAAAGAAGCCACCGAUUAUUUUCAAAGAGCUGAACUAUGUAGUCUACAUCAAUAUAGUUGAGGCGUUUGAUAAAAGAUGGAUGGGUUAAACUCUGUUAUUGCUGCGUGCUCACAUUUUGCCAGGAGAGAACGAGAAACAAAGGGAAAAAUGAUCGUGUUUUGCAAUAUAAAGGAGCCGGUGCUGUACUCGGAGGACGUGUGUGACGCUUCCGCAUCUCUCGCUAUACGUCACGCGUUGUUCUGCUGUGUUGCAUCGGGGCUAAAAACUUGGCACUCACGAACCGACAAGCAUCGCAAAGUACCAACGCGCCUACGACCAUCACCCCUCCUUCAAUGCGAUUGCAUGAUGCUCAUAGCCUCUGAUGCAGAUAGAUCUAUUUCUCAGGGUGGCCAGUGCUCCAACACAAGGGAACCGUUUUCCUAUUUAAAUGAUUUUGUUAAUACACAAAUAUUGUAUUAACAA